rnacentral:rRNA from 1 species
CGGAUCAGGUAGGGAUACCCGCUGAACUUAAGCAUAUCAAUAAGCGGAGGAAAAGAAACCAACAGGGAUUGCCCCAGUAACGGCGAGUGAAGCGGCAAGAGCUCAAAUUUGAAAGCUGGCUCCUUCGGGGUCCGCAUUGUAAUUUGCAGAGGAUGCUUCGGGAGCGGUCCCCAUCUAAGUGCCCUGGAACGGGACGUCAUAGAGGGUGAGAAUCCCGUAUGGGAUGGGGUGUCCGCGCCCAUGUGAAGCUCCUUCGACGAGUCGAGUUGUUUGGGAAUGCAGCUCUAAAUGGGUGGUAAAUUUCAUCUAAAGCUAAAUAUUGGCCGGAGACCGAUAGCGCACAAGUAGAGUGAUCGAAAGAUGAAAAGCACUUUGAAAAGAGAGUUAAAAAGCACGUGAAAUUGUUGAAAGGGAAGCGCUUGCGAUCAGACUCGCUCGCGGGGUUCAGCCGGCAUUCGUGCCGGUGUACUUCCCCGCGGGCGGGCCAGCGUCGGUUUGGGCGGUCGGUCAAAGGCCCUCGGAAGGUAACGCCCCCUCGGGGGCGUCUUAUAGCCGAGGGUGCAAUGCGACCUGCCUGGACCGAGGAACGCGCUUCGGCUCGGACGC